GUCAGAUCCUGAACAUGUUCCAGGACGUUGGCUUCAAACAAACUUCAGCUGCUGCUGGCAUCAACACUCCUACCUUCGCUGCUUUACGCACUAACACCUGCUGUUCACCUGACACUUGCCUUCGAUCAGACCCUACCCUGGAGGAACAGAUGGUUUGCACGGAACGUUCAGAAAACAUGGGGAGAGGAGCGAGACCCCAGCUGGCUCCUCACACCACUGGUGAGCCUGACAUCCGACGCAGAGACCACGCUACUGUCUGGAGAAUGAGCACAGCAGUGGGGACUUCUGGAAUGUCUACUGAUCUUUGUAAAAGAUGCUCCGAGGAUAACGGCCAGCGCUCAGCUUGGACAGUCCCAACCUUGGACUUGGGCAGGUGUCUCUGCAGCAGAACCCCAGUCUUUGAGUAGGUGAGAGAGUGUUUUGGUUUGAGGAGAGCAGUUCUUUCCUCUUGCCCAUGUUUGGCUUCCCGUGAGGUCUGAGUCUGAGCGAGCAAGGCUAACCCGGGGUGAACUCCCUGCUGACCGUCUCGGUUACCCAUCCAGGCCACCUGGGUACAGUCCCGUGUUGUGUGUACCCCAUGCCAGCCUUGCUUUGGGAUGUGACAGUGUGGGCCAGGCCCCAGGCCAAGGUCACCGGCUUUUGGUGCAUGCAUUGUCCCAGCGGCAGAGUCAUUUCCAUUUACUUGGCUCCAGCCUGUCUCUAUUACACGGGCCCUCCGGUCUCCUUGAAAAUCUCUUCCAGGUAUCCCUGGGGGUCCCCAGAAGGAUGUUUAUAGACGCUCACAGAAUCCCCCCACCUCCUAUGUCUCAAAGCUGCUGCCCAGGGAGCCCCACUGAUGGUACCGGUUCUCUGCACCACCGCUGCCCAGCUCACGCAGCCUCCUAGCUGUGGGGUGAUGCUGCCUCUUGGGCACCCCCCCAGUAGUGCAACCUCACGGUGCUGUGUCAGAACCAGUGUCCCUGCAACCUUCUCCGGGCUGAAGCUGUGCUCCAGGCUGGGGUGAGGUGAAGGUCACACUUUUCCCCAGGGCCCCACGGCAGCGUCCCUCGGACCCUGCAUCUCCCGGAGUUCCUAAUGAAAACAGCCCCUACAGCACCUGCCCUCGGCCUCAGCUCUGGGGCAGAGCCCCAGGCUCUCCUCCAGUUCUGAUAGACUGGGAUAACGAGUGACUCACUCGAUGUAAUGGUUCCAAGCAAUCAUUUAGAAAGCUCCGGAUUCCGGGGGCCGGCUCGGCUGGUCUCUGCUGGACGAUGCAUUCUCGGGUCUGCACUCAGCUAUCAGGUUGGCCGGAGGCUGAUAAUCAGGCCAGCGUAGCCUCUGUGUCUGCCGGUUUGGUUGGCGGGCUGUCCAACAGGCAUCUAACACUCCAGCGGACUGGCCAGGGCAUCUUCACACGGUGGCAGGACCAAGAGUGGCGAGAGGGUAGGCCCCAGCCAGUGAGCGCCUUCCAAGGCCUCUGCUUUUGCUAAUGUCCUAUUAUCCGGGGUAAGUUGCAUGGUCACCCCUGGAUCCCAGGGCUGCAGAAACUGGGUGGGCUGCAGCGUCCCUAAGCAAGAGUGUGGACGCAGCAAGAAGAAUAGGAGGCCAAUUUUGCAUUCAAUUAUACGUCCUUGGCCCCUCUCAUGAACCUCCUGGCCCACCCUCUUCUCUCCAUGCAAAUCCAGGCCUACGUGCGGAGCCCUGCAGCCUGAAAGCUCUAGGCUGGCCCAGGGGCCCUGGGUGCAGCGGGAACACCCUCCCUGCAGCUAUCCCCACUCACUCAGCAAGGUGCCCUGUCACGUCCCUGUGUCUGGCUGCACGGCCAGCCCACAUGCAGGGAGCCCAGGGCUGGUUCAGGGUGGCCAGGCAGCCCUAGGACCCAGCCAGUCCUCUCAAAGGGUAUGAGCACGGGCCACCUGGCCUUGGGGUUAUGGACUCACUUCUUCGUGUCAAAAUUGCUCUGCAGGUAGACAGGGAUGAGAGUGACUUCACAGGGCAUGGGGCAAGGGUCCUGGUCCUUUUCUGAUGUCCCUACUUCUCGCCGGACCCUUGAAAUGAGGAUGGUGGCCACCGUGAGUCAGGGGCUGUGCUGAGCCUCAUAGGACCGCCCUGUGUCAUCUCCACAACAAUCCUCCAAACUCAGAUCCAUCACCCCCACUUUACCAACAAGGAGGCUGAGGCCUAGAGGGGUUGAGUAGCUUUCCAGGGCCACACAGUGAAUAAAUAGCAAAGCCAGGAAUGGGACCUAGUUUCCUACAUCCACAUCCCUCACCACCAUGUAAAUGUUCUCUAAUGAGAAGUAUGAUAAGAACAAAACGGACUAUUGCCACGUCCGUGUAAACUGUCUCCCAAGACCUCAUUUUCACCCUCGGAGCUGCCCCGUAAAGAGGUUAGAGGCAUCUCGUCUCCCUCUCCAAAUGGGCGAAGUGAGGACCAGAGAAGUCAGAGGACCGGGCUUGUGACUCGGACGGCCACGCGCCUCUUUCCCCAUGACAUGAUUUCUAAUGGGCCACUUCGUGCUUGGGGAUAUUUAUUUGUCAGUGAAAUGCAGGCAGGGCCAGGCAAGAUCUUUAGAGCCGAGGAAAUGGAAAUUAUAUAGCUUCCCAUGUAAACUGAAAAUAAAAACCACGAAGCAAGAAA